GCCUUGAUCCUUACAACCAGGUUGCAAUUCAUAACGGUAAAAUGUGCAUGGUAUAAAUAGAAUAGUUCAAGGAAUAACAAAAAUUUAUUAAACUUAAAUGCAUUUUUUAUUUUGCCUUCCAGUAAAAAAAUAUGAAUUUGACUGAUUCAUUGUGAUUGUUGGUUGUUUUGACAUGCCACUUCCAACCACAUUGACCAAGUUCAAACCAAAACCCCAUGUUAAAACUUCGUACCAAAACUUUUCAUAGGCUCUUAUUUGGUCAAAUAGAUCUUUAACUGAUUCCAUUCUUAUACAUUCUUUAAUAAUAGAUCAGUCUUAAUAUGUUUUGAAAAAAAGCAGCAAAGAGCUUUGUAUACAUGAAAUUUUUAAUGUCCGGUUUUCAUGUCUUACAUGUUUAAUUAUUGCAAUUGUUUAAUGCAGGACACACAUGCAAGAUUAGUUAUUGCAAAAGCAAUAAUUGCUACAAACUAAUAAUGAUUUUGGAAAAAAAAUAGUUUUU
rnacentral:lncRNA from 1 species